GCACAGAUCACCUACGGGUCUUGUUAAAAUGCAGAUUCUGACUCAUUUUAGUCUGGGCUGGGGCCUGGGAUUCUGCAUUUUUAAUAAGCUCCCAGAUGAUACAGAU
rnacentral:pre_miRNA from 1 species